UCCUUUUUUUUUGACCUUUGUCCCUUCAUUUAUCUAUUUAUUUUUAUUUUUAAUAGCUAAAAAGUUCUUUAAUUCAAUUAAUUAACUUUUCACCACCCACUUUAAUUGUCUUCUUUAUUAGAUAUCUUAAUAUGUAUUUAUGUGUUGUUACACCUUUUCCCUGCCCCACGUUGUGAACAGAAAAUGUAAGAUUUGCUUCUAGGAAAUUAAGGAGUCCAACAUUACUUGAGUGGAAAAGAUUAAAUCAAAUGAGAAAUGUUGAGAGUGCAGUUUCAUUAUCAAACACCAGCCUCAAGGUUCCAGAUGAUGACAUUGUCGUUCCUUUAAUUUGACGCCAGGAAGAUAUGAUGGCAUGAAACUUGAUUACGUGCAUUGAUUGUUCGUCCACUUCAAGCACUCAAAAUGGAUCUUCACAGGGGGUUUGAUUUGAUUACUUAGGUAAUUCUAGGCAAAGACGUUAUUUUCAAAUUGUGUUUUUGUUCUCUUCUAUUCUUUGAGUUCAUGAAUGUAUUCUUCUUUACCGUGAAUGUAUUCUUCUUUACCGUGUUAUGUUUUUGGAGAUUCAUUUUGUGAUGUUUUGGUUUCAAAUUAAUGUUGUUCUCUUUUUUUUUUUUUUUUUUUUUUUAAUUUCUUUGUUCUGAACAAAGAUCUUUGAUAAGAUGUAUGAUUCCAUUUUAUCUAUCAAUAAUGAAUUAUGAAACUUUCUCUCUGAGAUGUGAAACUAACAAGUCUAUUAGAAAGUCGAAUGAGAAAUUUUCACACGAAUUUUAAUUACGUAUUUUUAAUUGCUAUUAACUUUGCUCCUCCUCUUCUUCUUCUUCUUCUUCUCAUCUUGCGAUGAUGAAAAGCGUGUUUAUGUUAUUGUCAGCUUCUAAAUUAAGUUGACUAUGUUAUUAUUCCUUUUUUCUUUUCAAUGAA